rnacentral:rRNA from 1 species
UACGGAAGGUGCGAGCGUUGUCCGGAAUCACUGGGCGUAAAGGGCGCGUAGGCGGCCGUGUAAGUCACUUGUGAAAUCCCGGGGCUCAACCCCGGGGCUGCAGGUGAGACUGCGUGGCUAGAGCACGGUAGAGGCGAGUGGAAUUCCCGGUGUAGCGGUGGAAUGCGUAGAUAUCGGGAAGAACACCGGUGGCGAAGGCGGCUCGCUGGGCCGUUGCUGACGCUGAGGCGCGAAAGCGUGGGGAGCGAACAGG